UGAAUACGAGACGCUAAGGCGUCGAAGUAGUGUAUGUCAUACUUCCAAGAAAAGCUUGCACUGUCAUAGAUAAAAAACGCCUGUACCAUAACCGACACAGGUGGGUAGGUAGAGUAUACUAAGGGGCGCGAGAUAACUCUCUCUAAGGAACUCGGCAAAAUAACUCCGUAACUUCGGGAGAAGGAGUGCCUUAUUCGUAAGGUUGCAAUAACAAGAUCCAAGCAACUGUUUAUCAAAAACACAGGUCUCCGCUAAGUCGUAAGACGAUGUAUGGGGGCUGACGCCUGCCCAGUGCCAGAAGGUUAAAGAAGUUGGUUAGCAAUUGCGAAGCUGAUAACUGAAGCCCUGGUGAACGGCGGCCGUAACCAUAACGGUCCUAAGGUAGCGAAAUUCCUUGUCGGGUAAGUUCCGACCCGCACGAAAGGCGUAAUGAUUUGGAUACUGUCUCGGAGAGGGGCUCGGUGAAAUAGACUUGUCUGUGAAGAUGCGGACUACCUGCACCAGGACAGAAAGACCCUAUGAAGCUUUACUGUAACUUGAAAUUGAAAUUGGACUUUAUUCGCGCAGCAUAGGUGGGAGGCGUUGAUUAUAAUCUUGCGGGAUUAUUGGAGCCAUCAGUGAGAUACCACUCUUGUAAUGUUAGAUUUCUAACUUUGAAUCAUUAUCUGGUCAAAGAACAGUUUCAGGCGGGCAGUUUGACUGGGGCGGUCGCCUCCUAAACGGUAACGGAGGCGUACAAAGGUUUCCUCUGAACGGUUAGAAAUCGUAUCUAGAGUGUAAAGGCAUAAGGAAGCUUGACUGUGAGACCUACAAGUCGAGCAGGGACGAAAGUCGGUCUUAGUGAUCUGACGGUACUGAGUGGAAAGGCCGUCACUCAACGGAUAAAAGUUACUCUAGGAUAACAGGCUGAUCUCCCCCAAGAGUUCACAUCGACGGGGAGGUUUGGCACCUCGAUGUCGGCUCAUCGCAUCCUGGGGCGGUAGUACGUCCCAAGGGUUGGGCUGUUCGCCCAUGAAAGCGGUACGCGAGCUGGGUUCAGAACGUCGUGAGACAGUUCGGUCCAUAUCCGGUGUAGGCGUUAGAAUAUUGAGAGGAGCCUUCUUUAGUACGGGAGGACCGAGAAGGACAUACCUCUGGUGUACCAGUUAUCGUGCCAACGGUAAACGCUGGGUAGCUAUGUAUGGAGUGGAUAACCGCUGAAAGCAUCUAAGUGGGAAGCCCACCUCAAGAUAAGUAUUCUCAUC
rnacentral:rRNA from 1 species